AAGGAAAUAAGGUGGGCGCUUAUCCUUUAAUUCUGGAAGAUCAAGGAAUAGAUAUUAUUUUGGGGGUAAAUUGGAUGAAGGAACAUAAAGUUCAAAUUGAUAUGGAUAAUCGGGUCGUUAGUAUGAAAGAUGACCAAGGCCACCCUUUUGAGCUCCAAUUACCCGCUCAUCCUUGUUUAGACCAGAUGGUCAAAAAGACUAGAGCAGUGACUCUAGAAUCUAUUCCUGUGGUUAAUAAGUUUAUAGAUGUGUUCCCAGAAGAUCUGCC
rnacentral:lncRNA from 1 species